rnacentral:lncRNA from 1 species
GGGGCAGGACAGUGGGAAUGCCUCUGGUAGCCAAUACGGAGUAUAAUUUUUUAUCAAAGCUGCUGUCGACGAGCAUUCCUUGGGUUAAAAAUGCCUCAAGGAUGAUCUUUGUGGUAGCAUGAUAAUGAAGGAACCAGAUCUAGGAUUUCAGGGUUAGAUCUUGAAACUUUUUCAAGAUCAUACAGCGAAAGAUUAAAAUAA